GGUAACUCGGUGCGAGAGGCGCGGGGAGGACGGAGGGGGCAAGCGUUGUUCGGAAUUACUGGGCGUGAAGGGCGCGUAGGAGGGGUGCGAAGUUGGAAUUGAAAUCCCCGGGCUCAACCCGGGAAGUGCGUUCAAUACUGGCGGGCGUGAGUCCGGGAGAGGGGGGUGGAAUUCCAGGUGUAGCGGUGAAAUGCGUAGAUAUCUGGAGGAACACCGGUGGCGAAGGCGGCCUCCUGGACAGGUAUUGACGCUGAGGCGCGAAAGCGAGGGGAGCAAACGGGAUUAGAUACCCGUGUAGUC
rnacentral:rRNA from 1 species